rnacentral:rRNA from 1 species
AUGAUUGGGCCAACUGCGACGCAACUCAAUGGUGGGCCCCAUAAGAAUACACUCUCUAGUAAAAGAACACGCCCUCCCCUCAAGGACCCGAUCUUGAUGAGGAGACGUGCAAGAUGCAUGCGACCCCCAGGGGGUCGUGAUCUAAAAAAGGAGGCACAUGCUCUAAAAAAUCUCGAAUGUGCCUUGGAUGUUUGUGCGCCAACUGAGAAAGGAGGGCUGGGGAUCCUGGACCUGCAAAGCUUUAGUCGAGCACUACGGCUAAGAUGGCUAUGGAUUGCCUGGAAAGACCCGGACAGGCCAUGGGUUGGCACACCACCGCCAUGUGACGACGUCGACAGAGCCCUGUUUGCUGCAGCUGCAACGGUCACCAUUGGAGAUGGUACAACAGCGUCUUUCUGGCAAUCAACAUGGCUUGGCCCGGAGACGCUGGCUCAACGCUACCCAGCCCUGUUCAAGCACUCCAAGCGAAAAAACAGGACAGUUUCAGAAGCUCUACAAAAUGAAGCAUGGAUCAACGACCUUGAGCACGGAUCCGAUCCAUCCAUCCAUCCAUACAAGGAGAAAUCGAUCGUAAGCGUAGCCAGUCUGAGCUACGGGCCGGAUCGCUCCAUGGAACGCCGCCUGCGGCAGCGACAUUGCGGCGACCUACCCGAAGACGUGCUCGCCGACGUGCUCCGCCAUCUCCCGCCGCGCUGCCUCGCGGUGUCGCGCUGCGUCAGCAAGGCCUGGUGCCGCGCCAUCGACGAGCGCCGCCUCCUGCGCCCAGACCUGCUCCCGCUCUCGCUCGCCGGCAUCUUCAUGCACUUCGACGAGCACACCUUCCCGGAGUUCUUCUCCCGUCCCUCCUCUUCCAAGAGGAUCAACGCCAAGCUCGACUUCUUGCCUCCCCUCAAGGAUCCCAAUAUGGACUACUAUGUCUCCAACCACUGUAAUGGUCUCUUAUUGACCAGCACAUGCGUGAUCAACCCUGCCACGCGACGCUGGGAUCCUUUGCCUCUGCUUAGGCCUUUCUUCGCCGAUCCCAUGGGGCUCACCCGUGUUUUCGGUUGGUAUCUAGCUUUCGAUCCCACCGUGUCGCCACACUACCAGGUGUUCAAGGUUCCCUAUUUGCCCCCGAAGCCUUAUAAGCCCGGAGAUUAUGGCUACCGAGGUCCUCAAGAUUAUGUAGAACCUUUGGUGGAGAAAUCUGAAUGGCCGCCGGCUCCAUGCAUCAUGAAUGUCUUCUCGUCAAGGUCGGGCCACUGGGAGGAGAGGUCUUUUGCCAGAGAAGGUAAUGCUGCAGGGAUUGUUGCUGAGGUGCGACAAAGGUGGCUCUUUGGUGCCGUCUACUGGCGACAAGCACUUUACGUGCACUGCCAAAAUAAUUUUUUCAUGAGGAUAUCCUUGUCUGAGGAUAAGUACUGUGUGAUUAAACCACCGAUGGAUAUGGAUAUCAGGGUGUAUUCUUAUCUAGGAAAAUCCAAAAAGGGGGUAUACAUUGCAUCAUUCAUUAAGGAUGUCUUUCGAGUUUGGAUCCUAAAUGAAUCGUAUGAUCAGACAAAGUGGGUGUUGAAGGGUGAAUAUGAUCUUAAGCGUGUGCAAGCGUUUGAUAAGGAUGUUCAUGGUCCCUGGGUCUUAGAAGACAUCAACUAUGAUUUAUUUGGUUCUCGGCUUCCAAAAUCCAACAAGAAAGUAAUAGUUGAACAGUUUGAGUGGAACUCAGAUAACGAUGAUGAUGCUGAUGACAAGAGUGAGGUUGUCGGAGAAAACAACUAUGGAACACUUCGUUCACAACUUCCGGAAGUCAACAAGAAAGCAAUUGUCCAAGGGAGAAUUGAGCGUGAUAACGAUGAUAGUGAUCUUCUUGAUGAUAACGGAGACGUGGUUGGAGAGCGUCACAAUGCAUGCAACGUACUCGGAUUUCACCCCUACAAAGAGAUUCUCUUCUUAAGCAGCUUCAAGGAAAGGGAGUGGAAGGCUACAGUGCAUGCAUAUCAUUUGAAUAGCUCACGGGUGGAAUGCUUAGGGAACAUCUGCCCAACGCAAUACCAGCAAAUGGAAGACCAAUUACAGGAGGAACUAGGGGUACAAGGAUAUUUUCCAUACACGCCAUGCUGGACCGGUGACUAUCCUAGAAACAAAUAA